rnacentral:misc_RNA from 3 species
AACGCAACUUGCGCCCUCUGGUAUUCCGGAGGGCAUGCCUGUUUGAGUGUCGUGAACACCUCAACCCUCCAAUGUUUUUGCAUUGAAGGCGUUGGUAGUGAGCGCUGCCGGACUUCGGAUCGGCUCGCUUUAAAAUCAUUAGCUGGAUCCAUUCUGACCUGGUUCUACUCGGCGUAAUAAGUUAUUAUCGUCGAGGACGCCUGGCCUUCUAGGCUGGCGGCCACAGUAAGGGUGUUUGAACCGCUUCUAACGCGUCUUGCUCUUGUAGCAAACACUUGAACCUCUGACCUCAAAUCAGGCAGGACUACCCGCUGAACUUAA